rnacentral:miRNA from 1 species
ACGAGCUCUUCCAGUGGAAGGAAAGCCUUCCGCUUGGACGAGGUACAUGUACCUCAUCCAGCAGAAGUGUUUCCUUCCAAUGGACGAGGCAGGUGUACCUCGUCCAGCGGAAGGGUUUCCUUCCAAUGGACAAGGUGCGU